rnacentral:rRNA from 1 species
UAGGGAGGAUCCGAUUAUCUCGGUGCGUUGCGGCGAGUUCAAGUCCAUCUUGAAUGGGGCCAUUUACCCAUAGAGGGUGCCAGGCCUGUAGCGACCGUUGCGCGUAUCGAGAGGAUCUCUCCUCAGAGUCGAGUUGCUUGAGAGUGCAGCUCUAAGUGGGUGGUAAACUCUAUCUUCCAUUUAGUGGCGUGCGAUUGACCGGGAUUCGUCCCGCGAUACGCCGUCGAUUUAUGUGUCAGGCGGCGUUGGCAUGCACUUCUCUCUCAGUAGGACGUCGCGACCCGUUUGGUGUCGAUCUACGACCGCGGCGGUAGCCUGUCACGAAUUUAUUCGCGCCAGACCCCGCGUGCUCCGGCCGACUGCCAGACGGUAUAAAUGAUAUGGUAUAGGGUCGCUUUUAAGCGUUCGGCCGGUUGCAAGCACGGACGGUUAUUGGCCGUCGGACCUAGUCCGGCAUCGAUGCCGCCUCGAGCUGUUAGCUACCGUGUUCUCGAACGGACUCUAUUACCGGUCAGCGAUGCUAUUGCUUUGGGUACUUUCAGGACCCGUCUUGAAACACGGACCAAGGAGUCUAGCAUGUGCGCGAGUCAUUGGGAAAUACAAAACCUAAAGGCGCAAUGAACGUAAAUGUUUGCUUAAGUAAACUGAGGGAUGACGGACCGCAUCUACGGAUGCGUGCCUGCAAUCCCGAGGCGUCUCACUCUCAUUGCGAAAAGAGGCGCACUCAGAGCGUACACGCUAGGACCCGAAAGAUGGUGAACUAUGCCCGGUCAGGUCGAAGUUAGGGGAAACCCUGAUGGAGGACCGUAGCGAUUCUGACGUGCAAAUCGAUCGUCGGAACUGGGUAUAGGGGCAAAAGACUAAUCGAACCAUCUAGUAGCUGGUUUCCUCCGAAGUUUCCCUCAGGGUAGCUGGCAUUCGAUGAGCGAGUCUCAUCCGGUAAAGCUAAUGAUUAGAGGCCUUGGGGCCGAAACGACCUCAACCUAUUCUCAAACUUUAAAUGGGUGAGAUCUCUGGCUUGCUUGAAUAGUGAAGCCAGAAUUUUGGAUCAGAGUGCCUAGUGGGCCAUUUUUGGUAAGCAGAACUGGCGCUGUGGGAUGAACCAAACGCCGAGUUAAGGCGCCUAAACGACGCUAAUGGGAUACCAUGAAAGGCGUUGGUUGCUUAAGACAGCAGGACGGUGGCCAUGGAAGUUGGAAUCCGCUAAGGAGUGUGUAACAACUCACCUGCCGAAGCAACUAGCCCUGAAAAUGGAUGGCGCUGAAGCGUCGUGCCUAUACUCGGCCGCCAAGGCAUGAGAAACGUUCAUAAUAGUUCGUUUUGACGCCCUGGUGAGUAGGAGGGUCGCGGUGGUGUGCGCAGAAGGGUUUGGGCGUAAGCCUGCCUGGAGCCGCCAUCGGUGCAGAUCUUGGUGGUAGUAGCAAAUACUCCAGCGAGGCCCUAGAGGACUGACGUGGAGAAGGGUUUCGUGUGAACAGCCGUUGCACACGAGUCAGUCGAUCCUAAGCCCCAGGAGAAAUCCUAUGUUGAUGUCGGUGUAUUUUAUUUUGAAUAAAAUUUCACACCCAUCGGGCGAAAGGGAUCCGGUUCCUAUUCCGGAACCCGGCAGCGGAACCGUUUACAAGUCGGGCUCUCGCAAGAGAGUUCGUCGGGGUAACCCAAAAUGACCUGGAGACGCCGUCGGGAAAUACGGGAAGAGUUUUCUUUUCUGUAUGAGCGUUCGAGUUCCCUGGAAUCCUCUAGAAGGGAGAUAGGGUUUGGAACGCGAAGAGCACCGCUGUUGCAGCGGUGUCCGUAUCUUCCCUUCGGACCUUGAAAAUCUAGGAGAGGGCCACGGUAGGUGUCGCGCCGGUUCGUACCCAUAUCCGCAGCAGGUCUCCAAGGUGAAGAGCCUCUAGUCGAUAGAUAAAUGUAGGUAAGGGAAGUCGGCAAAUUGAAUCCGUAACUUCGGGAUAAGGAUUGGCUCUGAGGAUCGAGGCGUGCCGGGCUUGGUUGGGAAGCGGGCGUAGGCC